CAGAUUGUGUGAUUGAUAAAGAAAAGCACAUAAAUGACAAAAUACCAGUUUGAGUGCCUAGUGGUCUAAUCAGGAAAUGCUCUUUGGAAGCUCAAUAUAUGCACUUAUCCGUUUGCAUUUUGAUUUGGCUGUUAGUGCUGGGGAUGUCCUUAAGGUGGUGUGCUGCUUUUGGCAGAUUUAGUCAUUCUCUUUAGUCACAUGAGCACUAAUGGUUUUUCUAAAUUUUUAUGUUGUUUAUUUUGGAUACAGGCAGAGGAAGCUCAGCGAAAGCUUAAGAGACAGAAUGGAGAGGACCCAGCCCUGCCUCCAUUCUGCCCACUGUUUGCCAGCUUGGGAAACAUUCUGCAGUGUGACGUGCUGCUUGGCAUGCUGGGAGCUGUGCUGCAGUGGGCUAUGGAGCCCAGGGAGGACACUGGUCUGAGUCCAUGCUGCAGAGGGUGCUGCACUUGAUAGGCAUGGCUCUGCUGGAGGAGCAGCAACAGCUAGAGAACAUUGGGGAUGACGAUGAAGUUACUUUCAACUUCACCCUCAAAAUCUCCCAUGGUGGUUAGCAUUAAAACGAUGCGUGAGUGCACAGCUGCUGCACCUCCCUGUGAAGGAACAGGGCACUGUCAUAAGGAGAAUGUGUGGGACAAAGACAAAGCAUAGAGAAAAAGGAAAGCUGAACUGUGCUGGAAAAAGACCAUGGCUCAAACAUUAGAGAGCCAGAGUCAUUUUAUCAAUAAGUACAUAGAUCUGCUCACGCAGGAUUCAGAGGAUCUGGACGCCUCAGCCUCUACAUCAGCAGAGCAUAGCCCCAGUUCAUGUGACGGUGCUCUGGUGUGUGGGACCUCGUCGUUGGCGUGCCAGAGGAGGAGAGAGGAGGCAGAUGGAGAUGCGUAUCAUGUGUCACGAAGCGCAGGAGAUCCUACCUGAUGGCACCGCCAUGGUGCUCGCUGCCUUUGUCCAACGCUCUACGGUCAUGUCCAAGAACCGCAAAAGACCCCCUCACAAUCCAGAGAGCUGUGAUCCCCUCUUCAUGCACCCUGACCUGUCCUUUGGUACCCAUACCGGCAGCUGUGGCCACAUCAUGCACUCUCACUGCUGGCAGAGGUCUUUGAAUAUCAAUGAUGCAAACAGGGAGGAGAAAUAUAACAGUCACUUCUUCCAUAAGGCAUGUGUUGAGCCAUGGCUUAUGGAUCACAGGACCUGCCCGAUGCAUGUGUGACAUCCUCAAAUCCCUCAGAGUAGAGGUGAGGUGUGUGCGUAAAUGGAUUCAUGAGAGUUUCUCAUCUCUCUAGAGACGGAUGUUGAGGAGCAGCACAUGUAGACGGUCACUUCUGCUUUGCAUUCGUUUCCCAGCAGCACUGAGUACUUUCACACACACUGUGACUCAGUCUCCAGCAUACACCCCAACUCCGAGUCUCUCACACAGUGAUGCUGCCUUUUCUGGAUAUGAAUCUCUGCAUGCAACAGAGCAGCUGGGUCCUGCUGACCACACACAUGAAGAAACCUCUUCACGGCUAAAGCUGCAGAGAUGGAGGUUGAGGGGACCAUGAAGAGGUGGCUCCAGCUGGCAUCAGAUCGAGAGUGCGGGCGCAAGAGAAGACUUUUGAAAACUUUUGCAAAAAGAAGGUAUUUAGAGUGUUUUAACUGUGGACUCUUUGUUAAUUUGUUAAAAUGUACAUAUUGUAGUCUAUUUUUGAUUGUUUAUAAAAGUCCUUGCUGUUUUUAAAUGGUUGAAUUUGUGUGUGUGUGUGUGUGUGUGUGUGUGUGUUGGUAGCUGGGUGGGUAUACAGUUGCGGUCGGAAGUUUACAUACCACUUGCAGUAUCUACAAAAUCUUAAUACUCUUUACAAAAUAAGAUUGAUCAUAAAAAUCCUAAGUUUCUAAUUUAGUAACGCCAUGAAUAAGCUAUUUCACAUAACAGAUGUUUACAUAUAGUCCACAAGAUAAUAGCUGAAUUAAUCAAAAUUACCCCCAUUCAAAAGUUUACACACGUUUGAUUCUUAAUAUUGUGUGUCGUUACCUGAAUGAUCCAGGACUCUUUUUAUGUGUUAUGAUAGUUGUUCAUGAGUCUCUUGUUUGUCCUGAGCAGUUAAACUGCCCACUGUUCUUCAGAAAAAUCCUCCAGGUCCUUCUCAUACUUUGCUUUUCCUGCAUAUUUUAGCCCUUUCCAGUAGAGGUUAUAUGAUGUUCCGAUCCAUCUUUUCACACUGAGGACAACCGAGGGACUCGUACACGACUAUUCCAAAAGGUGCAAACAUUCACUGAUGCUCAAGAAGGUAACAGCAUCCAUUAAGAGCCUGGCUGUAAACGUUGUAAACAGGAUGAUCAUGUAAAUUUUUUUGUCUUCUGGGAUACUUCUUCUAUGCUGUAUUAACCAUCUUUCUGUAAUAAACCUUUUUCACCUCAGAGGACGAGUCUGCAAGUGUUGUCUAAUUUCACAACUAAUCACAACUCAGUUUUUACAUUUUUUUAUUUUAUUUUUAAGAAAAUAAUUAAAAUUCAAUAACCUUUUGACUGUAUGAGGUACCCGUAAAUGAGAAAAAACAUAGUACUACUUUCAUAAAAUGUCAUGUGCAGCUUGAUGCUAAUUAUAGUAAUGUAUAGUAAUUCUGAGUCUUGAACAGUAAACUCUCAAGUGUCAUUGUCAUGUCACAGCAAACCAGCGACUCCGUUUCCCAGAAUGCACCUCAGACUACAAACAUGGCAAACACAAACUACAACUCCAAACCAACACACCGACAUUGUUAACAGAAUACUAAUCAGACAAACCUGUUACCAAUGAACCUACUACAUUAGAGAAGGAAAUACUGGAUGUGAAGUGCAGUAGUGCUAGUGUGUGUGAAUAGACUGUCAGUUUAGAUACUGACCCAGAACACUACUAACAUGCAGUGCUUUCUUGGGGUAGUGAUGAAGUUGGAGUUGAACCGGUAAGAAAGAUAUUAGAGAGAGGCUUCUUUACACUCCUGAGGAUGUUCAAUUAGAACCUGCACCAAACUCACCUGAUUCAAGUCAUCAGCUAAUUAAGCGGCCUGCACGAGCUGAGGUGGGUGCUUUAGAGCAGAUAAAACACUAAAUGUGUUAGAUAAGAGUUCAGAGCCUGUGUUCUAGACACAUGAUUUAGAGUGGAGACUUAGGCUUAGACCUUAGGCUUUGGAGUUAUUCUGAUUAUAGGUUUCAGUGAGGAAGUGACUGAAGUUAAGGAGAGGAACUGUAAAUAAAGUUAUA